AGAGUUUGAUCCUGGCUCAGGACGAACGCUGGCGGCGUGCCUAAUACAUGCAAGUAGAACGCCGAAGAGAGGAGCUUGCUCUUCUUGGAUGAGUUGCGAACGGGUGAGUAACGCGUAGGUAACCUGCCUUGUAGCGGGGGAUAACUAUUGGAAACGAUAGCUAAUACCGCAUAACAAUGGAUGACCCAUGUCAUUUAUUUGAAAGGGGCAAAUGCUCCACUACAAGAUGGACCUGCGUUGUAUUAGCUAGUAGGUGAGGUAACGGCUCACCUAGGCGACGAUACAUAGCCGACCUGAGAGGGUGAUCGGCCACACUGGGACUGAGACACGGCCCAGACUCCUACGGGAGGCAGCAGUAGGGAAUCUUCGGCAAUGGGGGCAACCCUGACCGAGCAACGCCGCGUGAGUGAAGAAGGUUUUCGGAUCGUAAAGCUCUGUUGUAAGUCAAGAACGAGUGUGAGAGUGGAAAGUUCACACUGUGACGGUAGCUUACCAGAAAGGGACGGCUAACUACGUGCCAGCAGCCGCGGUAAUACGUAGGUCCCGAGCGUUGUCCGGAUUUAUUGGGCGUAAAGCGAGCGCAGGCGGUUUGAUAAGUCUGAAGUUAAAGGCUGUGGCUCAACCAUAGUUCGCUUUGGAAACUGUCAAACUUGAGUGCAGAAGGGGAGAGUGGAAUUCCAUGUGUAGCGGUGAAAUGCGUAGAUAUAUGGAGGAACACCGGUGGCGAAAGCGGCUCUCUGGUCUGUAACUGACGCUGAGGCUCGAAAGCGUGGGGAGCGAACAGGAUUAGAUACCCUGGUAGUCCAUGCCGUAAACGAUGAGUGCUAGGUGUUGGAUCCUUUCCGGGAUUCAGUGCCGCAGCUAACGCAUUAAGCGCUCCGCCUGGGGAGUACGACCGCAAGGUUGAAACUCAAAGGAAUUGACGGGGGCCCGCACAAGCGGUGGAGCAUGUGGUUUAAUUCGAAGCAACGCGAAGAACCUUACCAGGUCUUGACAUCCCGAUGCUAUUUCUAGAGAUAGAAAGUUACUUCGGUACAUCGGUGACAGGUGGUGCAUGGUUGUCGUCAGCUCGUGUCGUGAGAUGUUGGGUUAAGUCCCGCAACGAGCGCAACCCCUAUUGUUAGUUGCCAUCAUUCAGUUGGGCACUCUAGCGAGACUGCCGGUAAUAAACCGGAGGAAGGUGGGGAUGACGUCAAAUCAUCAUGCCCCUUAUGACCUGGGCUACACACGUGCUACAAUGGUUGGUACAACGAGUUGCGAGUCGGUGACGGCAAGCUAAUCUCUUAAAGCCAAUCUCAGUUCGGAUUGUAGGCUGCAACUCGCCUACAUGAAGUCGGAAUCGCUAGUAAUCGCGGAUCAGCACGCCGCGGUGAAUACGUUCCCGGGCCUUGUACACACCGCCCGUCACACCACGAGAGUUUGUAACACCCGAAGUCGGUGAGGUAACCUUUUGGAGCCAGCCGCCUAAGGUGGGAUAGAUGAUUGGGGUGAAGUCGUAACAAGGUA
rnacentral:rRNA from 1 species